AACGCACGAGACCUGCGGACCUGCGGAGGGAUCAUUAGUGAACGCCCUCGCGGGCUUAUAACUAUUCCAAACCUCUGUGAACCGUGCCCUUCGGGGCUAUUUUACAAACAUGGUGUAAUGAACGUCAUAUAUCAUAACAAAACAAAACUUUUAGCAACGGAUCUCU
rnacentral:misc_RNA from 1 species